rnacentral:rRNA from 1 species
GUGGAUUAGAUACCCUGGUAGUCCACGCCCUAAACGAUGUCAACUAGUUGUUCGGUGAGGAGACUCAUUGAGUAACGCAGCUAACGCGUGAAGUUGACCGCCUGGGGAGUACGGCCGCAAGGUUAAAACUCAAAGGAAUUGACGGGGACCCGCACAAGCGGUGGAUGAUGUGGAUUAAUUCGAUGCAACGCGAAAAACCUUACCUACCCUUGACAUGCCAGGAACUUGCCAGAGAUGGCUUGGUGCCCGAAAGGGAGCCUGGACACAGGUGCUGCACGGCCGUCGCCAACU